UACGGAGGGUGCAAGCGUUAUCCGGAUUUACUGGGCUUAAAGGGUGCGUAGGCGGGCAGGUAAGUCAGAGGUGAAAUCUCCGAGCUUAACUCGGAAACUGCCUUUGAUACUAUUUGUCUUGAAUAUUGUGGAGGUAAGCGGAAUAUGUCAUGUAGCGGUGAAAUGCUUAGAUAUGACAUAGAACACCUAUUGCGAAGGCAGCUUACUACGCAUAUAUUGACGCUGAGGCACGAAAGCGUGGGGAUCAAACAGG
rnacentral:rRNA from 1 species